ACAGCGCUCCUCCUUGACGCCGCGAGCAGGACCCUGUCUCACUGACCCCGUGCCCACGGCGGUCCUUGCCUGCUUCUAUUCUCCCGGUUUCCCCAGUCCCGAGUAUUGGAAAGCGAGAGCGAAAGCGAAAGCAUCCUAGUCGCCGGUAGGCUGGCCUGGGCCGGGCUGGAGAGGGAGCAGGAAAUAAAAACUCGGGUGUGGGAGGAGCUGGGACGCUGGCGGCAGAGCCACUGUGGCAGCUUGAGUCUCGCGCGCGCAGGAAGCGGAGGUGGAAGUUGGGGCGCAGGAAUGUGGCUGUCCCCGCCUGUAAAUCAUGGUUGGGGAGGAGUCGCGGAGGCACCAGGCUGGGGUCUGCAGCGCGCCAUCUGCUGCAGCACACAGGAGGCGCUGAGGCUAGUUGGGUUCAAGCGAUUCUCAUGCCUCAGCCACUUGAGUAGCUGGGACUACAGGAUUUCGCCAUGUUCCCCAGGCUGGUCUCAAACUCCUGAACUCAGGCAGCCCGCCUACCUUGGCCUCCCAAAGUGCUAGGAUUACAGGUAUGAACCACCGCGCCCGGCCAGUUUCUUAAUUCUUAGACUAAAUCUACGGGGGACACACUUUUGCCAACAUUAGCUGCAAAGGGUUUUUUCCUCCACACUUAAGUCACGGUCAGUAAGUAGUUUUUUUUUUUUUCCUGUGUUUUUGUUUCCUUGUUUGUUUUUAUUUGGGAAAAUGCCUCUUUUGAUAGUAAUGAAUUAUUUUUUACACGCAAGGUCAAAAACAGCAUGGAGUGAAUUUU
rnacentral:lncRNA from 1 species